GCAUAUCAAUAAGCGGAGGAAAAGAAACUAACAAGGAUUCCCCUAGUAGCGGCGAGCGAAGCGGGAAGAGCUCAAAUUUAUACUCUGGCACCUUCGGUGUCCGAGUUGUAAUCUCUAGAAGUGUUUUCCGCGUUGGACCGCACACAAGUCUGUUGGAAUACAGCGGCAUAGUGGUGAAACCCCCGUAUAUGGUGCGGACGCCCAGCGCUUUGUGAUACACUUUCAAUGAGUCGAGUUGUUUUGGGAAUGCAGCUCAAAUUGGGUGGUAAAUUCCAUCUAAAGCUAAAUAUUGCCGAGAGACCGAUAGCGAACAAGUCACCGUGAGGGAAAGAUGAAAAGCACUUUGGAAAGAGAGUUAACAGUACGUGACAUUGUUGGAAGGGAAACGCUUGAAGUCAGACUUGCUUGCCGGAGCUUGCUUCGGUUUGCAGGCCAGCAUCAGUUUUCCGGGGUGGAUAAUAACGGUUUGAAGGUAGCAGUCUCGGCUGUGUUAUAGCUUUCCGUUGGAUACAUCCUGGGGGACUGAGGAACGCAGCGUGCUUUUUGCGAAAGACUCGUCUUUUUCACGCUUAGGAUGCUGGUGGAAUGGCUUUAAAG
rnacentral:rRNA from 1 species